GUCUUCAACAGAAAUGAAGGCAGAAGGCCUCUCUCCGAGGGGGGACGGGAAAACCUAGUGGGGUGAUUCUUGCUGCUGAAGAGUCACCCCUAGAUGCGGGUUUCCCAGCGAGGACCUGAGACAAUGGCCUGCCUCCUGGUCCCUCUUCCCGGCAGUGGGAGGGGCGGCUGCACAACGGACAGGGUCAGGACCAGCCUGAAACUCCCCAGACACUGUGACUGAGAGUGGACUGUGACCACAGACGGGGAACAGUGUGGCCUGCCACGUCUAAGAGACCAGCUGAUUGCCUGACAAACCUUGUGUGCUGACUAGUUACACCGCAUCCGAAGAAUCGGUUAAAAAACAAAAAGGCAGAAAUUCUGUUGGCUCAGAGGAGCAGAACGGGACAGGUCAGGCGGUUCUGGAAACUGGCCACCAGAGACUCCACUGGACACCACCUGGUUCUGCCUCUUCUUCAGUAGCGGCUCAUGGUGGCUUCUCAGGGCCACCACCAGCUGCCAUCGCAGCUUCCCAUCAAGCCCUCAGCCCGGGGCAACUCCCCAGGGCAGGCUCUGAAGCAGGGUGCAGGGAGGAAGGGCGUUGCGCUGGAGUCCCAAGGUGGGGGGGAGGGGAAGGAAGGAGCAGCCCCACAACUUGGAAGAGGUGAACACAGACCCAGCAGCACCCCAACUUCUGAAUGGAGCCCAGAGAUACAUCAGGCCACCCCACCGUUGGGUCAGCAGGCCACCACGAGGCCUUGUGUUCUACCUGCUCCGUCCUUGUGUCCACCUGGCUCCCUGCCCUGCCUGGUCAGGCCUGCCCCACCCUUUCUGGUUAUAGUUCCAGGUCUUACUUAGAAUUCGCUUCCCCUUGAAGCCCUGUGUGGAAGGCCACUCCCUCUUCCUGCUCUUCAGGCCACCCUGAACACCCCUCGCCUGAGCUCCAGUCUGGCCUGGCUGCUCAAAGGUCUGCCCUGCCCAGCUGCGCCUCCUUCCCUGCCACGGGACUGCCUGCCCGAAGUGGUGACUCAUCACUGAGCCCGGCAGCCGGAGCGGCUCCACUCCCUGGGGCCUCAAGUGGGUGUGCUUCUGUGAGGCACUCAGGGACAGUGGAGGCCUGAGCGUGGCAGCGUGCCAGCAGGACGGGGUCCAAGGAACACCUAAGUCACCGGGAGGAAACCCUCAGCUAUCGCACAGCUGGGAGAACGGUUGCAGGCUGGCUCCUGAAGGUGAGGCCUGAGUGAGCUGGCGUGGGAGCCUGGGCCACCUGUGGACAGGACCCCUGGUCCACCCACACUAUGCCUCGGGCCGCACCAUCUUGUACCAGUUCCGCCUGGGUGUGGUCUCUGGGGGGUGGAGGCUCUGCUCUGUGAUGCCUGCCCAUUCCUAUGGUGUAAAUGUGCCCACCAUGGCCAGUUUCAAGUGACCAGGAUGAUGUCACUGAACACGGAGUAUUUCCACCAUAAUGACGCAAUACGUGCAGCCACCUCCAGGACAGGCAGUAGUGAAUGUCGCCAAUGGUGCUGCUUCCUCCUGGAAGUCCACCCGUCGCUUCCAGCAGGGUUUGUGCUCGGGCCAGUGCGACUGUGUCUCCACCUCGGAACACAGAGUGCCCCAGAGGACGGAGCUGCUCAGCUGAGUUAGUAUGGGGAGGCCGCGGCAGCGAGUGAGGCCCUGGCUGUGUGAUGAGAGGGCCCCCGGGAAGACAGCAUGCGUGAUGUCAGUGAGACUUGAGAAGAACUACCAUGUAGGGGGUGAAGCCCCACGGGAGGAGACCCGAAUCAAUGGCCACUACCAGACACGGGUACGACCCUGACUGUCCUCCGACCAGAGGCACAACUGAGUCCAGGCAGAUCCAGCAGAAGAAACGAGCCCAACCAUGGCUCACCGCAUACUCAUAAAACUAAUGAAAACUAAAUAAAACUGUUUUG